AGGAGCGUCCACAGCUCGCCGCCAAGACAAACCUCCAACAGCAUAUACAAAUACUUGGGGUCCCGGAAGGUCCGAUACAACCUGCAGUGAGUGAGAAGAAGGCAGUGCUCACCUGACCCUCACUGAUGAUGAAGAAGGUGUCCCCCGUGGCACCCUGUCGAAUGAUGUAAUCACCAUCUGUGUAGUGUCGGGCGGGACAGAACUCGCCUCCUCCAGAACGUCCGCCAGCUUGCUGAGGAUGUCCUCAGGAAGGGCCUGAAAGGACGGAACGCUAGUGGGAGAAAGAGAUGGCGUCAAUAUGACAUCGUGAUGUGACAUCCUCAUGUUCCAAUGGCAGCUGUGUUGUCACCACACGACGCAAAAGUGCGCUCACGAUCCAGCUCGGCCUGCAGAUGUCUAAUCAGGAGCUCUUUGGCGUCCAGCUCCAACUCCAGCUCGUCAAUCAAUGCGUCUCGCUCCA